CCCAAAUAUAGUGGUUGUAGAACCUAAGUUUGGUUGCUAUAUUUGGUAUACCUAUUCAUAUCUGUAUAGAGGUUGCAGAACCGAAGCCGAAUCACUGUAUUUAAUAAUCCAUAACUCCUAUAUACCUAUCUGUUGUGUAUGUUACUCUGUUUUGUUAAACAUUUAAACGUGCUGACUUUUUAUAGUAAUCCGCCGAAAGGCUAUACACAACUUCUAAUAAUAUAUGUGUAUUUUUACGGGGGGAACGCUAACAGACACUUUAUGCGUUAACCUUCGACCAACUUGCCUUUGAUUACAACAGUUUGUCUAUACGCCUAGAAAAGAGGUGAACGAAAAC